ACGCACGCUGGCGGCGUGCUUCACACCUGCCAGUCGAACGGAAAGGCCUGUCCUUCCUUGUGUUGGACGGGUACUCGAGUGGCGAACGGGUGAGUAACACGUGAGUGAUCUGCCCCCAACUUGGGUAUAAGCCUGGGAAACUGGGUCUAAUUCCCGAUAGGACUGCAGGGUGGUGCCUGUGGUGGAAAACGAUUUUCUAGUGGUUGGGGAUGAGCUCGCGGCCUAUCAGCUUGUUGGUGGGGUAAUGGCUUACCAAGGCGGCGACGGGUAGCCGGCCUGAGAGGGUGGACGGCCACAUUGGGACUGAGAUACGGCCCAGACGCCUACGGGAGGCAGCAGUGGGGAAUAUGGCACAAUGGGCGGAAGCCUGAUGCAGCGACGCCGCGUGGGGGAUGACGGCCUUCGGGUGGUAAACUCCUUUCGACCGCGAGGAAGCCGCCUGGUUGGAAGGGUGGUGACGGUAGUGGUAGAAGAAGCACCGGCUAACUACGUG
rnacentral:rRNA from 1 species